CGGCGCGACGGUACAAACGGGGGAGGGACACAUUCCUCAGCUCGUCUCUCUCUGUGUGCUGUUACCGGGAGGGGUGAGUCAAUUCCUUUUGAUAUCUUUCCCUCGUGUGCUAUUUCUCAAAUAAAGGCUCUAUCAUUUCCUUCAUUUGUUUUACAUUUUGGCGAGCCAGGCAGCCAAAUAUCUUUAAAGAUACCCAAUUAUAAGCCUCUUAAAAUAAUUACCAUGACAUUUUUGAACAAUUUCAUGGGAUGGUUUGGACGGGGAAAGGCUAGCCCCAUAAGUGAAGUUUUGCCAGGGCACAUCCCGGGAUUCCUAGGAUCCCCAGAUCACAGGAUUGUUUGUAUCGUUGAAAAAGGGGGCCCCCUACGGGAUGGAGGAAAUGUUCAGGAAUCCCCAGCCCGCCUGGCUGAGUAUUUCAGUAGUCUAAACAAAAAUGUACUCACUACAUGAGAACGACAGUUAGCUGCCUCCACAGUGGCAUGGCCGCUGCUGAUGGCCUUGAACCGGCUAAAUAUAACUGAAGAGAUUCUCACUGAUGAAAAUCAACUAUUACGUGACCAUGUGGAAGAACUGGAAAAACAGGUUGCAAUUUUGAGAGGGAAAAAACUUAACCCUGUAAUUCCCGUACAAAAAAUCCGAAACAUCUCUCUAGAAAUUACUGGAGAUCCUAUACAAGACAAUCCACAUGAACUGGAUUCAGAAAAUGAAAGCACUAAAAAGUCAGAUCUUGAGGCUCCACUAGAGCUAGAUCCCUCUGAGAUCCGACCAGUUGUAACUCAAAAAACAAAAAAAAACGCAGGGCAGGCCAGCGGGGCUGCCCCCUGACCAGUGGCCCCCUGCCCAGAGCACACUACAUGUAACAGCUCGCCCAUACACGGCAGCUGAAUUAAUGGAUUUAGUACAACUGUUUAGACAAAAACCGAGAGUGUGCCAGCGUGGUUGCUCAGACUAUAUGACAUGGGGGCAGAAAGAGUUGUGGUGAAUGGACCAGAAAUCUCAAAACUGGCAUCCAUUACUACUCACCCGGCCCUCAGGCAAAGACUAUAUGUGGCUGUGCAACACAAUAAAGAAAAUCAUUCACUGAUUACAUGGUUAAUGGCUGCAUGCCAUGCGACAUGGGCAAAUGAAACGGACAUACCAUUAAAUACCGGCCUAUGGUCCUCUAUGGAGGACUUACAAAAUUACAUCUGAGAAUUAGGUAUGAAGGAGGCAAUUUAUGAGGAGAAUUUUGAGAGCCCAGAUAUGAUAAAAUUUUCAGCAGGAAUGAGGGACCUCAUCCUGCAGCAGGCUCCACCACAUCAGUAUGGUACUUUGGUAUCCAUACUGAAUCCCCUAGUGGCCUCAGAGACCAUUAUACAACAGGCCGCCCAAUUGGUGGCAGAUCUGGGGGAGACAGAGCGCCUGCACGCCAGGCGCAAUGUCCGAAUGGUGGUGGAAAAGUCGGACAUCCAUCCACCACCACGACCUAGGAGACCUGCCCCUAAUGUAAUUCAAUCUGGACCCAUCAGAGUCUCAAGAAAACAAAUGUUCACUGACCUGAUUAGGGCAGGAGUACAAUUUCAAAAGAUCGAUGGACAGCCUAACCAGGUCUUAUUACAACUAUGGAAACAGUUACCAAACAGUCAGAGAUUCCGACGCUCCCCUAAAAGGGAAGGAGUUAGACUCAUAGAACGGAUUCCACAAAACACGUGGAAUAUAGAAGACUUCAUAGUCCCAUCAAAAAAACGUAAACCUCCUUAAGUGGCCCGGGUAGCCACAGUCGAGCCAUCAGAGGAAAAAGACUUAGGGAUUGCAGAGCUGAUGGCAUGACAGGGGAGCCAAAAUUCCCCAAGACUAGGGUCUCCAGAGGAGACCGGAGACCCUACGUUGAACUAAUGAUUCAUUGGUCCUGAAAGAAUGUGCAGCGGGUUAUGGCAUUAGUAGAUACUGGGGCAGAAACAUCAAUUAUAUAUGGUGACCCAAACCAAUUUUCAGGCUCUAAGGCAAUGAUAGGUGGGUUCGGGGGGCAGAUGAUCCCCGUAACACAAACAUGGUUGAAAUUGGGGGUUGGGCGUCUACCACCCCAGGAGUACAAGGUGUCUAUCGUCCCAGUUCCAGAGUACAUAUUGGGGAUUUAUAUCCUGUCGGGUUUGACUCUCCAAACCACUGUGGGAGAGUUCAGAUUAAGGGAAAGAUGUAUUAGUAUCCAGGCAGUGGACUUUUCAAGUUCUACCUCAGGGGUACGUGCAUUCACCUACUUUUUGUCAUAAUUUGGUGGCACGUGACUUGGCAAAUUGUAACAAACCAUCGACUGUCAAAAUGUUCCACUACAUCGAUGAUUUGAUGUUAACGUCUGACUCAAUCGAGGCAUUAGAGAAGACAGUACUAUCAUUAAUUACUUAUUUACAGGAAAAAGGAUGGGCUAUAAACCCACAAAAAGUACAAGGACCAGGGCUAUCAGUUAAAUUCCUGGGUGUUGUCUGGUCAGGUAAGACUAAGAUGUUACCCAGUGCAAUCAUUGAUAAGAUCCAAGUGUUCCCCUGCAACUUCCUACGAAACCGAAGCAGUUGCAGGAGUUUUUGGGUAUAUUAGGAUAUUGGCAAUCCUUUAUUCCCCACUUAGCACAACUGCUAAAACCCUUAUAUCGAUUAACAAAAAAAGGCCAAGUAUGGGAUUGGGGUAGAACAGAACAAGAAGCCUUCCAGCAAGCAAAAAUAGCUGUUAAACAGGCCCAGGCGCUAGGUAUAUUUGAUCCGACCCUUCCAGCCGAACUGGAUGUGCAUGUAACCCAAGAAGGGUUUGGCUGGGGGCUGUGGCAGCGCCAGAGUUCUGUUCGAAUCCCAAUUGGGUUCUGGUCACAGAUUUGUCAUGGAGCAGAAGAGAGAUACAGCAUGGUUGAAAAGCAGUUAUUGGCUACCUAUUCUGCAUUGCAGGCAGUAGAACAAAUAACUCAGACCGCAGAGGUUAUUGUCAAAACAACUUUACCAAUUCAGGGGUGGGUGAAAGACCUAACUCACAUUCCUAAGACCGGGGUGGCCCAAUCACAAACAGUAGCACGCUGGGUUGCCUAUCUUAGCCAAAGAAGCCGCCUGUCAUCAUCUCCACUGAAGGAAGAACUUCAAAAGAUACUUGGGCCAGUAACAUAUCACAGCGAGACACCUGAGGAAAUAGUGGUUACUUGUCCAGAAAAGAGUCCUGUACAGGAGGGGAAAUACCCUAUCCCAGAAGAUGCCUGGUUUACAGAUGGAUCCAGCAGAGGGAACCCAAGUAGGUGGUGAGCUGUUGCAUACCAUCCCUCAACUGAAACAAUAUGGUUUGAAGAAGGGGAUGGACAAAGUAGCCAGUGGGCUGAGCUACGAGCUGUGUGGAUGGUGAUAACUCAAGAACCUGGCAACAGUGCACUAAACAUCUGCACAGAUAGUUGGGCAGUCUACCGAGGGCUCAUGCUCUGGAUAGCACAGUGGGUCACUCAGGAUUGGACAAUCCAUGCCCGACCUAUCUGGGGCAAAGAUAUGUGGGCUGAUAUAUGGAACGUGGUUAGGCACAGGACCGUACGAGCAUACCACGUCUCUGGACAUCAACCCUUGCAGUCACCAGGCAAUGAUGAAGCUGACACACUGGCUCAAGUCCGAUGGUUGGGAAGUACACCAUAAGAAGACAUAGCUCACUGGCUGCAUCGGAAAUUACGGCAUGCAGGACAGAAAACCAUGUGGGCAGCAGCUAAAGCAUGGGGGUUGCCCAUACAGUUACCAGAUAUUGUCCAGGCAUGUCAGGACUGUGACGCUUGCUCGUGAAUGAGACCAAGACCUCUGCCGGAAACUACGGCCCAUCUCGCUAGAGGACACAACCCAUUACAGCGAUGGCAGAUUGAUUAUAUAGGUCCCCUUCCUCGAUCUGAGGGGGCCAGAUAUGCCCUAACUUGUGUAGAUACAGCGAGUGGACUGAUGCAAGCCUAUCCUGUAGCAAAGGCAAACCAAGCCUAUACCAUCAAAGCUCUAACUAGAUUGAUGGCAUCAUACGGGACUCCUGAGGUUAUUGAGAGUGAUUAAGGUACACAUUUCACAGGUGCAACUGUGCAGAAGUGGGCUGAAGACAAUAACAUUGAAUGGCGGUUUCACCUGCCCUACAAUCAACGGGAGCAGGCCUAAUAGAAAGAUACAAUGGGAUCCUGAAGGCUGCUCUGAAGGCAGAUUCACAGUCCUUGCAGGGGUGGACCAAAAGGCUUUAUGAAACCCCGCGAGACUUGAAUGAGAGACCAAGAGAUGGCAGACUCAGUGCUUUAAAAAUGCUGCAGACAACUUGGGCCUCCCCACUUAGGAUACAAAUUACAAGCAAGGACACCUCACUCAAGCCACAAGUUGGCACCAUGAAUAAUCUUCUGCUCCCUGCCCCUGAUGACCUAGAGCCUGGGAGACACAAGGUAAAAUGGCCUUGGAAGGUGCAAGCAGGACCAAAAUGGUGUGGUUUCCUUGCACCUUGGGGGAGAUUGUUAGAGGUUGGGGGAUCAGUAAACCCUUCAGUAAUCGGUGAAUGGCCAACAGAGGUAGUAGUUGACACCCCUGUUUUCAUUGCAAAGGGGACAUUAAUCAUGUCCAUGUGGCAAAUUAGAACCCCCCCUUUGGUACCCGAUAUAGUGAUUCAGUCGCAGAUUUCAGGCCAAAGAGUGUGGUAUUGAAGGCCAGGACGUGCCCCGAUACAGGCAGAGGUGUUGACUCAAGACUGAAAUACAGCCUGCAUCUUACCAUGGAGGGCAGACCUACCCCUCCUCGUACCUAUUAAACAUCUGUUUUACUCCCCUUGAGGUUUUAAGUUCACAGGAUGGCCAGCAGGAGCAACAUCACUCAAACACGCUUAUGAGGAAACAUCAUGACACCCUGUGACGCACUGCUGAACUUUUGGGAACUGGAGAGCAUGAAUCAGAAGCGCUACUGGUCCUUGAAAAAGAUACGCCUUGAGAAAGAAGAUCAAGUACUGGCCCAACAGAACCGUGAAGGGGACUGCCACUGAUUGCCUUUAUUGUCUUGACAUCCUAUAUUGCGGCGGGUGUUGUGUAUGCGUCGCGAUGUGCAUUGUGUCUUGGGCCACCAGGUUGCAGGGGCUCACCCCCUACCUGCUCAGUCAUUGGUUCAUGCUGUGAAGGGGUGGAGUGUAGUGGAAUUCCAGGGUCACAGCCUGAACCAAUGGGUGGGCUAUGUGAGAGCGUGAGUGCAGCAGCACGACGGUACGAACAGGGGAGGGACACAUUCCUCAGCUCAUCUCUCUCUGCGCACUGUUAUCAGGAGGGGUGAGUCAAUUCCGUUUGAUAUCUUUCCCUCGUGUGCCUAUUUCUCAAAUAAAGGCUCUAUCAUUACCUUCAUUUGUUCUACACCCAUGAACAAAUUCAAUGCUUUUUUCCUCAUUCCCUCCUCAACUAUGCCUUCAGGCCUUCUAGCCUCCACUAAGUGAAAAUGCACUGAUUACCCUUAAAAUUGAAUUAAAGUGCAAAAUAAUGUAAAGCAAGUGAAAAUCUGACCCAGUUUUGAACCUUGAAUUUGAUCCUUGAAAUGUCUGCCCUCUUUUCUUUCUCACUGCCCUGCAAAUAGUAGUUUGGGAGUGUCACUACCUGAAGUCUAUCACUGUUGAAAUCCACACACAUUCAUUUCAUCUCCUCAUCUUUUGUCUUGCAGCCUCCUCCUCUAUGCCUUUGCAAGCUCUCACACCAAAACAAACAAUUGUGUUGCCUAUCCUUUUUUCUGCCCAGACCUCCCAGACUUGAUCUCAGAAUCAAACUAUUCCUCUUCCAAGUCCUUCUGUUAAUUAGCACUGACCCCUGCCCAGCUCAUGACAGCUUUUUGACAGUUCUUUUCAUGGUUCUGCUGAGAAGAGCAGCACAAACACAUCAAGCAGGUGUUUUUGUAGAUGAUUCUACAAAAACAAACAAACAAACAAAACAAACCUGCCCUUAAUUAUACCUGAUACCAUGGUGCAGAAAAAGAAAUAAAAAGACUAACAUGGCACAGAAACAGUGUGAAGCAAAAUAUGUUGUGUGGGAUUCCAUACAUAAUAUAUCUUAUAUUUUCAACCUUCUGAAUUAUUCUGUUUACCCUCAGAAUCCUUUUACUUAUCCUUGGUGGUCUGAAAUUCCUGUCUCAAAUUAUUUGGCUUAGCAAUAUUUUAUAAUACUUUUGCAAAAAGGACAUGUACAUAUGAAUUAUCAAAUUACUGAAUUACUUACUGUAAAGUGUAAAACCACCUUUUCCACUUGUAUUACUUAUCACCUGAUUUGGAAAGUGUUUCUAUCAAUAGCUACCAAGUUCUGAUUUAGCAGCAGGAUCACUUUCUAAACCAUUUCCCA
ensembl:lncRNA